GGAUGUGAGGGCGAUCUGGCUGCGACAUCUGUCACCCCAUUGAUCGCCAGGGUUGAUUUGGCUGAUCUGGCUAGCUAGGCGGGUGUCCCCUUCCUCCCUCACCACUCCAUGUGCGUCCCUCCCGAAGCUGCGCGCUCAGUCGAAGAGGAUGACCAUCCCCGAUAGAUGAGGACCGUUCUUCGGUCAAGGGUAUACGAGUAGCUGCGCUCCCCUGCUAGAACCUCCAAACAAGCUCUCACUUCAUUCAGUUACAUUACUGGCUUGGUCUUGAAACAAAGGGCUAAAAGUCGUCAUCAUUCUCUAGUUCUUUAUCCUGAUUUAUUUUCCUUUUUAGAAUUUGUAACUAGCU
rnacentral:snRNA from 1 species